UCUUUUCUUUUUGUGUGGUCAAAACUUCUCCUCCUUAUCUUCGUUCUUCUCUUUCUCCUUCGUUCUUCUCUUCGUCGUUCACUCUAAAAAUAAAAUCAAUCUCUAUAACAAAUCCAAAUCCAACGGAGCAAGGUACCAAUAGAAUGAAACGAUUGUGAGAAAGAGGAGACGAACAUGAUACGAGGAAUCAUGAGGGGAAGAGGCAAAGACGUAUCGGCGUCGUCGUUGCCGUCAUCAGCUAAUCUAAAAAUCGUGAAAUCGUGGAACAUGAGAGGAUAGAACAACGAAUUCAUCUUGUUUCAACAUAGUUCUUUUCGUUUUCAAGAUCUGUCUCCGAACGCGAUUUCAUGAUGUAAUCUCCGGUUUUCUGAAGAAGCGACGAGGGGGAGAACCUCAAAGGGAAAAGAGAAGAAACAGAGAAAGGGGAGAGGGAGAAGCAAAGGAAACCAUGAAAGAAGAAAGGAAGAGAGGAGGCGCAAGUUCUCUCCGCCGCCACGUUUUCCGAUCUCCCUCACUUUCUUAUUCGCCGUCUCGUUGCCUAACGAACUUGUCGCCGACAAUCUCUCCGCCGAACAAGAGAGGACGAAACAACAGCUGUAUUUUAUUUAAUUAAUUAUUUAAUAAGAAAACUUCACUUUUAAUUAAUUAAUUAAUUUAAAAUA